UCUAUUGUCUUCUUUCUCAGUUCAUGGGCUGGAGUGUUAUGAAUGCUUGGGUGUCUCAUCUAGAACUAAAUGUCCACGAACUCAAUGCCUCAACAUUAAUGAUUUCUGUGUUACUCAGUUGGGAUUCAUGACUACAGGCGGUCUCAAAUUUCCAGUAAAGUUCAGUCAGUGCCUUCCCUUCUGCCCUCCUGAUUUUGAAAAUAGCAUCAUCACCCAGGAUACUUUUGUCAUCUGGAAGACUAUCUGUUGCCAAGAAGACCUCUGCAAUUGAGUAGUAAUUCUCACUUUAGGCAGCACCUAAACAAUGGCAGGGGUGCUUCCAUCCAGCAUGGGCUCAGUUCUCCAGCAGACCAUGCUGUGGUGGUCCUUUCAAUAACCCCAAACCUAAACCCUUUCUCUUUAAUACUCAUUUGCAGCCACUGCUUACUGGAGCCAUCUAGUGAUAAUUUGUCAGUUAUAGAAGCUCUGAGGUAGGGUAGUGUGUGGAAAACCUUGUUUCAACUUUAUAGCCCCUGUUGAGUAGGUGCUCCACUCCUCUCUAUGGCUUUCAGAUCUGUACUUCCUGGAACGUUGUUUUGUUGUGCUUGCUGCUUUUUC
rnacentral:lncRNA from 1 species